UCACUUUAUAGACCAGGCUGGCUUCGAACUCAGAAAUCCACCUGUCUCUGCCUCCUGAGUGCUGCCACCACACCUGGCUUUCAUCUAGGCUUUCUUAUCAUUACUCCUAAGCAAAACAGCACACCUGAUCAUUACUCAACACUCCCUUGCCCUAGGUGUAAAAAAUCACCUAGAAGCAACACCAAGGACACAACCUUGCCAUCCUUAAAUGGACUUUUUUGUUUGUUUCAUUUUGCUUUUUUUUUUUUUUUUUGAGACAAGGUUUCUCUGUGUAGCCCUGGCUGUCCUGGAACUCAAUUUGUAGACUAGGCUGGCCUCAAACUCAAUUAGAUCCACUGCCUCUGCCUCCCAAGUGCUGGGAUUAAAGGAGUGUGCCAUCAGGCCUGGCCACCUCGGACCUUUUAAUCUACAAGGGGCCCUGAUACAAGUGCCCCAAUAGAGACAGAGGAUGAUUUAUGACUUGAUUCAGGGAAAAGCUAAAAUCAGGAAAGCCCUUUCCACAGUUGCCGUGACCACAGAGUCCAUGUACCUUUGCAAUUAGGUGGGACCCUAGCCCAGCGAGCUCCAGUUGUUUACAGAGGAGAACAGCUGCCUCACCUCUGCACUGGGGCUUUGAGGAAAGAGCAUCUUUGUGUAAAUUGACUGUUAGCACACAGCAAUUCUCAGAGGGACAGGCCUUCUUUUGGCUCACAAUUUGGUCUUUUGGCUGCAGCUUUGGGCCUGUGGCAAGCGGCAUUUUGGGGCAGGAGCAGAUGGUGAGGCCAACUCUGAAAUUCAUGGCUUGGGUCUUCCCAGCAGCCUAAAUACCUCACUCAUUUUAAAGGGUCUCCCUUUCCUGUUACCACCAUGCUAGGGAUAGAACCUUACAACCCCCAAUGACUUAGGGAUGGAUUCAAUAGGCAAACCCUAGCGGCCUCUGUGCUCCAUGUUCUUCCUCUCCAUCCUUAGACUUAGAGGGGAGCUGGGCCUCUUGGACUGUCACUGUGUUGGAUCCAUAGUUUGGGUGGAAGGGGUUCUUUAAUUAGCCUACGGUAAUGGGAAUGAGGAAGCAAAACAACAAAAGUGUGUGAAAUGAGACUGGUGCCAGGAGUAAGGGCUGUACUUCAUUCUAUAGAGUGUUCUUCGAUCAAAAUGCAAGAUGCCGACACUCAGUACCAUCUUUGCUCCUUUGCAGGGUACCCAGGAACUAUCUUCAUUGGCUCAUGAUAUGUAACUGUUAGGUCUCAGAAACCCUGGACAAAUGGCUGGCUUGCUUAUUAACAUAUCAAAGCCAACACUGGCCAGCUCUCCCUGCAUCCCUCAGUACCUGUGGCUCCUCCUAGGUUACUUGAACCUUAACCUGAUCCCUAUGGAACUCAACCAUUUUGGUCUCUUGGCCUGGGACACCUCUCUUGAUCUGUGGCUUCUCUCCUGAUCUCCCUCCUACUCUCUCCUCUCAUGGUCAGGUUUAAUCUGCAGGCCGUGUUCAGCCUAUACACUUCCCUCUGCCUACUCUCUCCCUUAUAUCUACAAUAAAAACCUUCUCCAUAUU
rnacentral:lncRNA from 1 species